rnacentral:rRNA from 1 species
AUUGAACGCUGGCGGCAGGCUUAACACAUGCAAGUCGAGCGGGGUGAUGGUGCUUGCACUAUCACUUAGCGGCGGACGGGUGAGUAAUGCUUAGGAAUCUGCCGAUUAGUGGGGGACGACAUCUCGAAAGGGAUGCUAAUACCGCAUACGUCCUACGGGAGAAAGCAGGGGAUCACUUGUGACCUUGCGCUAAUAGAUGAGCCUAAGUCGGAUUAGCUGGUUGGUGGGGUAAAGGCCGACCAAGGCGACGAUCUGUAGCGGGUCUGAGAGGAUGAUCCGCCACACUGGGACUGAGACACGGCCCAGACUCCUACGGGAGGCAGCAGUGGGGAAUAUUGGACAAUGGGGGGAACCCUGAUCCAGCCAUGCCGCGUGUGUGAAGAAGGCCUUAUGGUUGUAAAGCACUUUAAGCGAGGAGGAGGCUCUUUUGGUUAAUACCCAAGAUGAGUGGACGUUACUCGCAGAAUAAGCACCGGCUAACUCUGUGCCAGCCGCCGCCGUAA